rnacentral:rRNA from 1 species
UACGUAGGUGGCAAGCGUUGUCCGGAUUUAUUGGGCGUAAAGAGCGUGUAGGCGGCCAGGUAGGUCCGUUGUGAAAACUAGAGGCUCAACCUCUAGACGUCGAUGGAAACCAUCUGGCUAGAGUCCGGAAGAGGAGAGUGGAAUUCCUGGUGUAGCGGUGAAAUGCGCAGAUAUCAGGAGGAACACCGGUGGCGAAAGCGGCUCACUGGACCGUUGCUGACGCUGAGGUGCGAAGGCCAGGGGAGCAAACGGG